AUGAAUAUACUUAAGCUAUCAAUAGUACUUUUCCCACGUCUGAAACCGAAUUGGGAUUCACAUAAUAGACCGUUAUGCUCAACAAACCAUUCUAAAUGAUUUUUUAUAAGAUGUUCUGUAAUUUUCAUCAAAACAGAAGAAAGUGCGAUUGGGCGAUAGACAGAAUGGUCUGAAGAACACCUAUUAGGUUUCAGUACAGGAAUUAUUUCUUGACGUUUCCACGUGGAGGGGAUGUUACCAGAUGUCACUAUGGAAUUUAUAAGAGAUAAAUAAUAAAAUAAAGCAUCAUCAUCUAAAUGAGAGAUAAAGGAAUACGGAAUACCGUCCAGUCCAGGAGCAGAAUCCUUAACAUGAGACAAUACACCAUUUAGUUCAGUGAGAGAAAAUAUACUGUUUAAACCAAAACAGUUAUCAUUAUUUAUAUUUAUUACAGGGUAACCAAUUAUUAAGUCUUCAGGAACGAAAGGUGGAGCCAAUUUAUCUAAAAAGCUAUUAACUAAAUGAAAAGGGAUUGAUUUUGGGGAUGAAUCUUUGUAUGCAGAUCUAAACCUUCUUAUAUUUUGCCAUACAAGAGAUGGUUUGACAUCAGCAUAUUUUCUUCUCUUUACUGCCACAGUACAUUCGUUAUCCCACCAAGGAGGAGAAGGAAUAAAACCCAAAGAGCUAUUUUUACUUGGAAAUAUCUCAUUGGCAACCUCAAUAAAGAUUCUUGCUAAAGAAUCUGCACACUGAGAUUCUGUACCUGGAUUAAUUUUUGGAAGUGUAACAAUUUUGUUUUUUAUUAGAUCUUUAUAUAAAUCCCAAUCAACAUCAUUAAGCUUAUAUUUUAAACGAGGAGAAUAAGUUUUAUGUAAUACUUUAUUGUUAUUAUUGCAGGUUGGAAAUGAUAAUAAUAGUGGGAAGUGAUCACUACCAAAAGUAGAUCGUAAUGGAUCCCAGGACAAAGAAGAAGCAAGAUUAGGUGUAGUGACUGUUAAAUCUGGAGCACUUGGGCCCUCGUCAGGAUGAGAACGUCGUGUAGGACGACCAUCAUUUAAUAUACACAAAUUCACUGAAUCAAAUAUAUCUAUUAAUGUGUUACCAUAACUAUUAGAAGAUAAGUAACCCCAGGAUUCAUGGCGACAGUUAAAAUCACCAAGGAUCAUAAAAGGCUUCGGAAGAAUGGAAAUAAUAUCUUUAAUUUCAUUUAAGAUUGCAGAAGAAGGAUGAGGUAUAUAAAUAGAUACAUAACAGAUAUUUUCAACUAUAGCAGCAAUAAUAGAAAAAUCAUUACUGUGAGAAGGAAUAGAGAAGAGAGAAAAGGAAAGAGGGUGUUUCACAAGCAUGGCUACUCCGCCAUGCCCAUCCACACGAUCUUCUCUGAGGCAUGAAUAACCUCGAAUCUUAAAUAAAGAUCCUGGUUUCAACCAUGUCUCUUGAAGAGCACAGAUAUAAGGUUUAUAUUUAUUUAAUAAAUAAAUAAGAUCACUUUUUUUAGGAGUGAUGCUUUGACAAUUCCAUUGAAGAACUUUGUCCAUUAUUUGGUUUAUAAAUUUGAGUAAUUGCAGAAACUAAUAAGGCAGCGUUGGACGGUGAAAAUUCAUUCGAUUGACUAAGAGAUUUUAUAAGAGAAAUAAUUAAAUCAAUUACUGAGGAUUCCAAA